rnacentral:rRNA from 2 species
UGCGACCCCAGGUCAGGCGGGACUACCCGCUGAGUUUA